GUGGGGAAUAUUGGACAAUGGGCGGAAGCCUGAUCCAGCCAUGCCGCGUGUGUGAAGAAGGCCUUUUGGUUGUAAAGCACUUUAAGCGAGGAGGAGGCUCUUAAGGUUAAUACCCUUGAUGAGUGGACGUUACUCGAAGAAUAAGCACCGGCUAACUCUGUGCCAGCAGCCGCGGUAAUACAGAGGGUGCAAGCGUUAAUCGGAUUUACUGGGCGUAAAGCGCGCGUAGGUGGCCAAUUAAGUCAAAUGUGAAAUCCCCGAGCUUAACUUGGGAAUUGCAUUCGAUACUGGUUGGCUAGAGUAUGGGAGAGGAUGGUAGAAUUCCAGGUGUAGCGGUGAAAUGCGUAGAGAUCUGGAGGAAUACCGAUGGCGAAGGCAGCCAUCUGGCCUAAUACUGACACUGAGGUGCGAAAGCAUGGGGAGCAAACAGGAUUAGAAACCCGAGUAGUCC
rnacentral:rRNA from 1 species